rnacentral:rRNA from 1 species
GGACCCGCACAAGUAGUGGAGCAUGUGGUUUAAUUCGAAGAUACGCGCAGAACCUUACCAACACUUGACAUGUUCGUCGCGACUUUAAGAGAUUAAAGUUUUCGGUUCGGCCGGACGAAACACAGGUGCUGCAUGGCUGUCGUCAGCUCGUGUCGUGAGAUGUUGGUUAAGUCCCGCAACGAGCGCAACCCUCACUUUUAGUUGCCAUCAUUAAGUUGGGCACUCUGAAAGAACUGCCAGUGAUAAGCGGGAGGAAGGUGUGGAUGACGUCAAGUCCUCAUGGCCCUUACGGGUUGGGCUACACACGUGCUACAAUGGUAGUGACAAUGGGUUAAUCCCAAAAAGGCUAUCUCAG